rnacentral:lncRNA from 1 species
UCACGUAUCCCUACGUAUACAAGUAUAGCCCUACUGCGCCCUUCAUAUUGUACAAAGCCUAUUAUUUACUAGAUAAGUCAUAAACUCUGACACCAAGAAGUGUUAUUAUUAUUGCCUGUUUAACUUUGCUAACUCUUCUUUAGAAAUUCUCACAUUGUUAAAAUGUCCAUUGUUCGGCUCGGCUAUACUUCCAUUUGCAUUAGGACACGUGACAGGCCAAAAAGAUGCUUGAAUAGUAAGUUUGCC